AACGAACGCUGGCGGCAUGCCUAACACAUGCAAGUCGAACGAGACCUUCGGGUCUAGUGGCGCACGGGUGCGUAACGCGUGGGAACCUGCAUUUAGGUUCGGUAUACCUCAGAGUAAUUUGAGUUAAUACAGGAUGAUGUCAUCGGACCAAAGAUUUAUCGCUUCUAGAUGGGCGCGCGUUGGCUUAGUUGGUUGGUGGGGUAAUGGCCUACCAAGGCGAGGAUCCAUAGCUGGUCUGAGAGGAGGACCAACCACGCUUGGAAUGAGACACGGCCCAGACUGGGACGGGAGAGUGCAGUAUAUAGUAUUAGACGAUGGGGGAAAGCGUGGUCCAGCAACGCGGGGUAAGAGGUGAAUGCCGUAGUGUAGUAAAGCUCUUUUAGCCGAGGUGAUAAUGACGGUAACGGGAGAAUAAGCGCCGGCUAACUACGUG
rnacentral:rRNA from 1 species